CUGGAUUUGGGGAACUGGCAAUUCGGUGCGGUCCAGGACAUGAAGGAAUGACCUGUUUGGGCCUUGAGCCCAAACCGGAUCCACUUGACAAGGGGGUAGAUGAAAUCGAUUCUCUUCAUCAAUCCGAAACGGAAAAGCGAACAAGGGAAAAUGCGAUUCUUUCUAAUAAGCAGAAGCGGUGCGAUUCGAUUUUGCCGUUUUCAUCGUCCAUGUGUGUUUUUCUAUGCCACUGCUCAUCAGUUUAGACAAGGAGCUUCACAAACCCGCGCGAAAAUCCAUUAGCAAGAUGUGAACGGGAGAGAGACACGAUUAACGUCACAAGAACUCAAACAAGGCCAUGAGUUUCUCACAAAUUGUUCUCCAAUGAGUGAAUCAGUGCGAGUUCGUCGGGAAUGAGGUCUACCCUCAAGCGACGACAUCAAACGCGAAUUCGGCUUCGCGCUCAAGCUCAUCAUCAAAUCAAAGUCGCGCUUAUAUUUGUAAUUCUGAUGCGCAUUCAAUGUUGUUGAUUCCUUAUGAAUCGUUGUUAUUGUAUUUGUAGUCGACGGUGAAGACUAAGAUUAACGGAUAACCUUCGAUUUGUGCUGGUUUCCAAGGUUUGAAACGAAUUCAGGUUCCAUCGCAACAAUUCCAAAUGAAUCUUCCACAAAUGGUUCGAGGAUUGCUUCACAUUCUCCUUGAAGAAACCGUAUCUCGUCUUUGGAUUGAUGUCGACAUUGCCGUGUAAUCUAUGGAGAUUGUUGAAGUUUAGUGAUUCUGACCGAUUUGGACGAUGGUUACGUGAGAGGCUAAUGGAAGGUUUCCGAUUCUGUAGAUGAUGAGGAUAACGCGGUCAUGCGGUUAGAGGUGAGGUUCCAUGGAAGUUAUGGUUGUGAAGUGGAGGGUGAAGAAUUGAAGGUUGUUUCGUGCAAUCGAUGAAGAACCUGGAGGUUGGAGCUUGACGGUUCAGUUUGAAGAUGAAGGAGGAGAUUGAAGAUUAUUUAGGUGUGAGGUUGAAGAUGGAUAUUGAAAUUGGUUGUGAAUGGAGAAAAUGGAAGAAAGGUGUUGAAGAAGAUUGAAGAAAGUGAGGAAGAAUGAAUAUGAUGAAAUCCAAAAUGAUUGGGCAAGGUUGCUAGGAUUGAAUGGCUUGGAUUCGCCGAGUCGGACUUCGCUUCAUUUAAGCUGUUAUGCAGGGCUGUCCUCAGUGGUUUGGAAUUCUUGGUCCAGUUCAUGGAAUUUUUGAGGUGGUUGAGGUUAGAUCGGGUAUGACAGUUGGGAUGUUAGUUUCGUAAUGAUAGUUAGAAUUCUGUUGGAGGUUUUGGGUGAAGUCAGGUUGGUCAUGAACUCAUUCCCUGGUUCUGCUAUCAGGUCGCAAGUUAUUAGUAGUUGGAGGUUUAGUUUUGUAGUGGAGUUUUGAAGUGUUGAUGAGAGGGUUUCUUUGAAGGGUUCAAGAACUUGGUUAGGGUGGUUAUGACAGUUGAAAAUUUUAGUUUUGAAUUAUCAUUUUCUUUCAUUUUGCUUAGCAAUUUAUGUUGGUCAUUUUUUAUGAUGCAUUCCGUUUGGUGCAGGUUUCAAACCGCUUUCGCUUGGCCACGUUUAAUGUUGGUUUGAUGCGGUAUUGGCAACAUGAAGGGAUUGAAUCCAAGGUCUGCUAAAUGACCUUCAUAUGCCCUUCCUUUGAAGAAACAUGAGUCGCCUGCAAAUCCACUAAAGGGAUUUAGUGAUUUCAACAGGACAUGGUCUUCUAGCACGGCGUGAAGAAGUGUGCAUCUGGAUUGUGUUCGAGCCGACAUGGUACUGUAGGUGAGAUCCAAGCUGCCGGUUUUCGUAUACGUCCUACUGUUGUUUGUGGUCAGCUGCUGCAGUUUUGGUUGAAGUGGGGUUAAUAAUUCGGUUUUACCUCCGGACUGCAAAUGUUUUAGUUAUGAACCUUGGUUAGUUGGUGUUAGUAGCCAAUUUUCUAUUUCGUCCAUGGUUUAUUAAUGGUACGGUGGUUUAGGCUUUAUAUCUUAAAGUUUGGCAUGCAUGCCAUUGUAACUUGUAUUUGGAUUAAAUAUUAUGGAGUGUGUGAAUCCUCAAGUAGUUUUCUU